ensembl:processed_transcript BC006965 uncharacterized LOC110305879
CAGGCUGAGGUUGCAAAGGAGCUGUAUCUAUGUGCAGGAACGAGGGACAAAGGACAAGUAAGUGUGGCGGGGCCCUUGGAGAUCUGUUGGAGCAGUUGCAAGGGGCCACUGUAGGCCAGCAAUCGCCAUGGCUGCAGCAUUGGUGCCAAGCAAGAAAUCCCACCGUGUUCCACACACCAAGGCUGAGGAGGCAUAGAGUUGCCUGCUGCAGAGGAGUAGAGUGGCAGCCCUCUGUCCUUCCAUGAAAGGAGACUCCAUGGGAGACAAUGGUGUGUAGGAGUGCAGUUCACUUGAUGAGGAUGUACUUGUUUGAUGAGUGCGGACUCAGUGCUGGGUAAGGCUGGAAACAGAAGGUAUACGUACAAAGAUCUGUUCCACCUUGUGGCAAUACUGCAAGUCCCACCCUCCCAUGGCUCUCCUCUGUACAGACUGUAAAAUACAAGCAGAAAACACUAAUUAACUGAUCAUUAGCAGGAAGGUGAAAGAUCAUACUUAGAUUUACAUGUUGCCUUCUUGUUCGAAGAACUGCGUCAGCAUCCACUAAUUAAUCCAUCAGCAAAGAAUGCUGCCUGCAUCUCUCCAUCAUUAGCCAGUCUUCAAAAGAAGCAAGAAGACCGGGGGAUGGGCGCCAGAUGGCUUCUGAUGCAUCUCUGUCAUUCAGAUCUCCUCCAC